rnacentral:rRNA from 1 species
AACGAACGCUGGCGGCAGGCCUAACACAUGCAAGUCGAGCGAGGACUUCGGUCCUAGCGGCGGACGGGUGAGUAACGCGUGGGAACGUGCCCCUUGGUACGGAAUAGCCCCGGGAAACUGGGAGUAAUACCGUAUGAGCUCUACGGAGGAAAGAUUUAUCGCCAAGGGAUCGGCCCGCGUUGGAUAGGUAGUUGGUGGGGUAAUGGCCUACCAAGCCGACGAUCCAUAGCUGGUUUGAGAGGAUGAUCAGCCACACUGGGACUGAGACACGGCCCAGACUCCUACGGGAGGCAGCAGUGGGGAAUCUUAGACAAUGGGCGCAAGCCUGAUCUAGCCAUGCCGCGUGAGCGAUGAAGGCCUUAGGGUUGUAAAGCUCUUUCAGCUGGGAAGAUAAUGACUGUACCAGCAGAAGAAGCCCCGGCUAACUCCGUGCCAGCCGCCGCGGUAACAC